rnacentral:rRNA from 1 species
GAUGAACGCUAGCGGCAGGCCUAACACAUGCAAGUCGAACGGUAACAGGAAUUAGCUUGCUAAUUUGCUGACGAGUAGCGCACGGGUGCGUAACGCGUAUACAAUCUACCUUUUGCUGAGGGAUAGCCCAGAGAAAUUUGGAUUAAUGCCUCAUAGUAUGUCGACCUCGCAUGAGGAUGAUAUUAAAGGUUACGGCAAAAGAUGAGUAUGCGUUCUAUUAGCUAGAUGGUGUGGUAACGGCACACCAUGGCAACGAUAGAUAGGGGCCCUGAGAGGGGGAUCCCCCACACUGGUACUGAGACACGGACCAG